rnacentral:rRNA from 1 species
GACGAACGCUGGCGGCGUGCCUAAUACAUGCAAGUCGAGCGCAGGAAGUCAUCCGAACCCUUCGGGGGGACGUUGACGGAAUGAGCGGCGGCCGGGUGAGUAACACGUAAAGAACCUGCCCUCAGGUCUGGGAUAACCACGAGAAAUCGGGGCUAAUACCGGAUGGGUCAUCGGACCGCAUGGUCCGAGGAUGAAAGGCGCUCCGGCGUCGCCUGGGGAUGGCUUUGCGGUGCAUUAGCUAGUUGGUGGGGUAAUGGCCCACCAAGGCGACGAUGCAUAGCCGACCUGAGAGGGUGAUCGGCCACACUGGAACUGAGACACGGCCCAGACUCCUACGGGAGGCAGCAGUAGGGAAUCUUCCACAAUGGACGAAAGCCUGAUGGAGCAACGCCGCGUGAGCGAUGAAGGCCCUCGGGUCGUAAAGUUCUGUUGUAAGGGAAGAACAAGUGCCGCAGGCAAUGGCGGCACCUUGACGGUACCUUGCGAGAAAGCCACGGCUAACUACGUG